AAACACUUCAUCAUGUCCCAGCCGAAGAGGACAGAAGAGCGGCAUGGAUUGAAUUUAUUUUUGAUGCCAAUAUCCAUGCUACAGUUGGCAAGAAACUGGCAACAAUCAUUUCGAGACUGACUGUUUCUCAAACUACGGUCAGUACAAGGCAGGAUUAGCCGGGAUAACUCAUCUUAAAUGACGGCGCAGUUCCAACUUUGCACAACAUACCUGCAGACGAGGAACAUGCCAGUGCAUCAUUAACAUUACAUACAGAAGAAAGACCAGCUACAAAAUAUAUUGGUUGCCAGACUGAGCCCCCAGAAAGAGUGUUGGCACACAACUGUCUUCUAGGACUCUGCAAUCCCCACUCCUCUUUGGAGGCGUUCCAUAGUGUCAUUCUGCGGUUCGCACCCAAAAACAUGGUCUAUCAAUAUCUGGGAAUGCUGUGCAGACUCUACCUGGCUGCACUGAUUAUAAUGAGAAUGCUAAUCGAGGACAAGCCACCACAUCUUCAGGGGAUCCUCUUUACAAACUGAGCUUUCCAAAAUCCAGGAAGGGAGAGUACAGAGCCAGACCAGUGAAGACAGACGCUACAUUCCGUAAGUUUUUUUUUUUUUUUUUACACAAAAACAAACAUUUACAUUGUACAUGACAAAGUACUGCAACAGUGCUUUCAACACAAUAAAUAAAACCAA